rnacentral:lncRNA from 1 species
GUGACUAUGGUUUGGAAGCAUGAAAAGUUCAAAGGAAAAGAAUAGACUCUUUGUGUUUAAAUGGAUAAUCUUAUUGGAAUUAAUAGAUAAAUGUCUAGCUCGAGUUUAUGAAAAGUCUUGGCCCCCGAAAAAAAAAAAAAAAAGAGAAAAAGAAAGAAAAAUGGGGCUAGCAAAGUUGUUUAGAGCUAAGAUUUGUUUAGAAGUUGAGAAAAUCCUUUAUAGAUUUCAAAGAAAAAGAGUUUUAUGUGCAAAGUAUUCUUGGGAUCUUUUGCUGAGAGAUGGGAGUUGAGUUUGACAUUGGGAAGUGAUUGUGUAACCUGUAUGUUUGGGAAAAGGGUAGAACAAUGGAGAUUGAGUAUUGUAUGCAUGAGUUGGUCCCUUUCUUAGAUAUAUUAUGUGCAAUG